rnacentral:lncRNA from 1 species
CGAGCCUAGCCCAAGGCAGGUGAGGCCACUGCCUUGGGCCUCAAAUUGUAGGGGGCCUCAUCUGUUAAGAAAAAAAAUUUGGCACAAGAAAACGAACUGCCUUUCUCCAUAAGUUCUUUUUUUCCCAUUUUAAUCUUCUUCGUCCUCUCUUCUCCACCACAAGGUAAGGUAAAAUUAAUCCCUAAAUUAAAACUACCAUCUACCGGCAGUGAGGGAUGACAAAUCAGUCCGACUACAAAAAUUUCGACGACAUUGGCAGACGGCACAAUAGGUUGAGCCUCUUUUUCACUUUUAUUAUUUGAAUUUGUAGGUUUCCAAUCCCGAUCAGAGAUUUCGACCUUGCUUGCUUACAGUGUAUGCCCUAGCCCAAGGCAAGUGAGGCCAGUGCCUUGGGCUUCAAAUUGUAGGGGGCCUCAUCUGUUAAGAAAAAAAUGGCAAAAGAAAACGAACCGCCUUUCUCCAUAAAUUCUUUUUUUCCCGUUUUAAUCUUCUUCGUCUUCUCUUCUCCACCACAAGGUAAGGUAGAAUUAAUCCCUAAAUUAAAACUACCAUCUAUCAGCAGUGAGGGGUGACAAUUCAGUCCGACUGCAAAAAUUUCGACGACAUCGACAGAUGGCACAAUAGGUUGAGCCUCUUUUUCACUUUUAUUAUUUGAAUUUGUAGGUUUCCAGUCCCGAUCAAAGAUUCCAACCUUGCUUGCUUAGUUGCUUUCAAUGCUUUGCCUUUGACUCUUUGAGUAAUGAUUUCUGAUUUCUCAUUUUUGGUUUCAUAAUUAGUUGCGCUGUUCCAUACUUCACCAUGGCAUUGAAUAGAUUAAACUUAUUAAAGCUAAUUUCAAGUUUUUGUGAAUCAAUAAAUGGGAUUGGAAGUUUUCUAAUUUGGGUUUGUCAGUAACUUAUUAAUGUUUUGGAAAUGGGAUUCUAAUUUUGGUGAUAUGUUGAUUCUAUUGCCAUUGAUUCACACAGAAAGCAUUUACUGAUUUACAAGUGAUUGGGACAAGGAUUUGAAAAGCUUAUGAGCAAUUUGUGAUUUUGAUUCUUUGCAACAGCCAACAGGUACUUUCCCUCAGGUCCCUGAAUAGCACUCAAAACAUAAUUCAAUAAAUGAUCCCUUGAAAAAAUUACAGCAGCAUUUCCGUUAUGCCCAUCGAAAAUCUGAAAUUUGGUACAUAAAUUACGAUAAUAUCAGGCAUGAAAAAUCAUUCUGAAAAUUGAAUUCUACAAGACUGAAUUAUGAAACAACUUACCACUAGAAUUUAUGGCUAAACCAAAUAAUUUACUUUUAGCCUAAAGUUAAAAACCUCCCAGUUUAGUUGCCUUAUAAUUUUAUACAAACAACGCUUUUGGUUUAAGUUGCUUAUCAUGCCAAACAUCAUAUUCAUAAUAACUUUUAAGCAUUCCCAAAACAUGCUCAAGGUAGACUACAGAUAGACGGAAAAGUACUUUCUAAAAUUCAGUGUGGGUUGCCUCUCCAUAGAUACAUGUCUGUGAUUCUAUCUCUAUGUGUGGACUGGAUAAUCUUCAACAUAUGUAUGUAUGGUUGAAGAUUUUAGUGUUAAUGGGCAUUUUUCAAUAAUGAAUUGAUAGAAUUGCUCUUGAAAAUGAUGUGGUAUUUUGCUUUAAUUUUCUAUUGCAAAUACAAGUGAUUGAAGAGAAGUAAUGAUUAUGAAAGUGAUUAAGUGAAAGUACAUCUUAUUAGUUAUUUAGUUCAUUUUCUUAUCAUCUUAUGUCUUUUUUUUCUUUGAAUUUAAUUUGGAUAAAAUUGCUCUAAUUAUGUUCCAUAUUUUUUGAAUAAAAGUGCUCUAAUUAUGUUCCAUAUCAUCUUCCAGUCGCAUUGUCUACUUCAAUCACCACCGCGACCACCAAUUUCUAAAUCCUUUCAUUUUGGGACUCAUCAAUCAAGUUUUAUCGCUCUUUACUUGUUAUUAUGUCUACGAGAAAAUUUGAAUCUGGAUGUGCCAAAAGAAAAAGGAAGGAAAAGAUUGAAAAGUUGAUUAAAUCUCAAGAGGAAGCACUUGAUAAGUUUUUUAGUAGUAGUAAACGAACACACAACGAUGACAUAGCUACUGAAGAAGUAUUAAAUGAGAAUGACAACAAUACUUAUACAAUUGAAGAAGGACAUUGUGUGAUGAAUGAAGACUUAUCUGCUGACAAAGACAAUGAACAAUUUUCUCUUGACCUUGUUGAUCCAGCAAAUUGGGGAAAUAUGAAUACGAAUUUAAGAUAUUUAAUUGUAAUGAAAGGUCCUGUAAGAGAAAAUAAUAUGAUUUUUCCGAAAGAUGGAGCAAAUCAACACUUCUCAUCCACACAUUAUGUUCAACGAUUACCUAAUGGAGAGAAGCAUGAUAGAAAAUGGUUAAUAUAUUCAAAAAGUUUGGAUAAAGUAUUUUGUUUUUGUUGUAAGCUAUUCAAGAAUGAUGGGAUCAGAACCCAAUUGGCACAUGAUGGAGUAAAUGAUUGGAAAAAUAUUGGUGAAAAACUUAAAAUGCAUGAAGGAAGUUGGUCGUGAGUAAAUGGAUAGAAAUGGAAUUAAGAUUUGAAAAGAGUAAAACAAUUGACGAAAGUGUGCAAGAACAAAUCAAUAGAGAUGGAGAACUUUGGAGACAAGAAUAAUAUCUGUAGUGAAAACCCUUGCUGAGAAUAAUUUAGCAUUCGUGGGGAUAAUGAGAAGAUAUAUCAGAAAAUAAUGAUAUCUUUUUAAGCAUGAUUCAAAUGAUUGUUGAAUUCGACCCCGUAAUGCAAGAGCAUAUUCGUCGAAUAAAAAAUAAAGAGAUUCAUUAUCAUUAUCUAGGACACAAAAUUCAGAAUGAGUUGAUACUUAUGCUAGCGGGCGAAAUAAAAAAAAAUAAUCAUUGAGAAACUCAAAAUUUCUAAAUAAUUUUCUGUUAUACUCGAUUGCACUCGAGAUACAAGUCACAAAGAAAAAAUGUUAAUGAUAUUGAGGUGUGAAGUUAUUUCGACAAGUCCAGUGAAGGUUGAAGAAUUCUUUUUAGGGUUUUUAUUAGUGGAUGAUACAUCAGGUAAGGGAUUUUUUGAGGAAUUGGUGGAUGCUUUGAAUAAUUUAAGAACUUGAUAUUGAUAAUGUAAGGGGUCAAGACUAUGAUAAUGGUGCUAACAUAAAAGGACAACAUAAAGUAGUUCAAAGUAGACUAUUACAACUAAAUCUUAGAGCAUUCUACAUUCCUUGUGGAUGUCAUAAUCUUAAUCUUGCACUUUAUGAUAUGGCCACUUGUUGUUCAAAAGCUAAAUCUUUCUUUGGGGUGGUGCAACAUAUUUAUACUUUUUUUUCUUCAUCUACUAAACAAUGGAAAGUUUUCAAAGAGAAUGUAACUGGUCUUACCCUUAAGCCCUUGUCACAAACUCGUUGGGAAAGCCAUAUUGAAAGUAUUAAAGCGAUAAGAUUUCAAGCUCCG